UACGGAGGAUGCAAGCGUUAUCCGGAAUGAUUGGGCGUAAAGCGUCCGCAGGUGGCAAUGUAAGUCUGCUGUUAAAGAGUCUAGCUCAACUAGAUAAAAGCAGUGGAAACUACAUAGCUAGAGUACGUUCGGGGCAGAGGGAAUUCCAGGUGUAGCGGUGAAAUGCGUAGAUAUCUGGAGGAACACCGGUGGCGAAGGCGGCAUCCUGGACCGGCAUUGACGCUGAGGAGCGAAAGCCAGGGGAGCAAACGGG
rnacentral:rRNA from 1 species